UUAACUUUGUGUAGUAGCAUCUUUAGGUUUUUGACGUGAUAUACUGUUCUUAUAUAAACUUAAAGCCGUUCAUAUACAAAAGUUAUAAAUACUAUUAAAGUGUAAAUAUAUUAUGAAAUGUGAUUUUAUUGAGGUGAGGUCUGUAAUUCGAGGCUUUGAGCCACAAAAUAAGAAGACACUUUGUUAUGAUCAGGCUAGUUACAUAAGCAAAUUCUGUGCUUGACUCAUCAAAUGCAUGUAUGGCCACAUUGAAGUCAUCAAUGUACGAAGACAGCUGGCUUGUAUUGUGUCACUCCAAAAACUUCAAUUAUUUACUAGUGAAAUUGGCAUCCCAAUGUUGUUGACAAUGUCUUCCAUGAUAUUGAGACUCUACUUUGUUUUUUCAAAUUUUUGAAGCAAGUGAAAGUGAAUAGAGGUGUAAAUCUCUGAUCAUCUAUGCUACGGUGCAGUUGUAUAGCAGCUACAACUUGCCCAAUGAGUUUUUGAACUUGAUUAGUUUUCUAAUUGCUGGGUUGAAUAAAAAGAGCACUCAGAAGAUGGUUGCAAAUUGCAAUACAUCCACUUGCUUUUUUUAUAUUGAAUCACUAGUUGAAAGAGAUGAACAACGGGAUUAUGCUUCAGAUCAGUGUUUCCAAUGACAAAUUUAAUUAAUUUCCAAAAAUUAGGCAAAUUGUCUGCGACUGCAAGCUAAUCCCCAAACUUCACAACUCAAAAGGAGCUCAUUGUCAUCACGUAGUUCUUCCUCAUCUUCAUCAUCUCCCUCACAGCUUCAUCAAAUGCUUUAUUUUCACUUUCCUCUCCAUCAAAACCGGAAAAAUCACCGUGAUCAUCACUCAAAUCUCUGAUCUCCCCGUCAACAGGUCUAAUAACCACUAGUGUCGCUCCCUUCAUCGAGAAACCUGUUUCUGGUAACUCUAGCACGGGCACGUACCAUAGCUUCAUGCUCAAAUCUGGAACUCGGCUUCUCUCCGUUGAUGAUUCUUUUGUUGCCAAUGACUUCAAUGCAUUUCUCAUAUCAGUAAUCUGAUCUUUUCCCACGCACAGCUUUCCUUGCUUAUUUAUAUCACUUAUGGUCACAUUUUCAAGCCUGUGAUGUUCUGCUAGAACCUCCUUUAGCAACCAAUGUCUCGCAGAUGCAUCAAUCAAGCAAGAAAUCGUCCAUACAACUCGUAACUUGAGUUCAUCAUCAGUUAAUACUUGCUCAACAAUGUCUUCUCUCUGGUUUUGAAAAUGAUCUAUGCUUUCCUGAAAAGAUGUAGCGCCAAGAACAACACAAUUCUUGAGCUCAACAUCAAACUCUGCCUUCCAUUUAAGCAAUGAACCAAUACCCUCCAAACCUACCUUACCACCAUGAGAUGGAACCUCAAUGUGCAGAGAUUUAACAUCUUUGAAGUGCUUCAAAACUUCAUUAGGAGAGUAAUAUGAGAGAUUACCAGAGUUUCUAGCAGGUGACUUGUUAGGAGCAAUUUUAUGGUGAAAGAACUGGAGUGGUUUGGCAAUGAACUUCAAGAAAAGAAUCUUUAAAAUGUUCACGGGUAAUCGAUGGCUUGACUUUGAGUUGUGUUUGCGAGGAGAGAUGGAAAGAAAGACCGUGUCAGUUUGGAAGACAAGAGAAGCAAAGCGAUGGGAGACUAAGAGGCAGCGAGCAAGAGAUUUGGCAUCUUGUAGCUUGUUGAAGAUAAGAAGCAGAAGUUGGUCUGGAAGACGAUCAAAGAAAUCUUCUUCCUCUACAGAACUCAUUGGGAUUUUUUGGUUUGUGUUGUUGAAGUUGAAGAAUGAUAAAUUGGCUUUUG
rnacentral:misc_RNA from 1 species